rnacentral:snRNA from 1 species
GUGCGGUGAGCGUGGAUC